UAAGGAAUAUUGCUCAAUGGCCGAAAGGCUGAAGCAGCAACGCCGCGUGAAGGAAGAAGACCUUUUGGUUGUAAACUUCUGUAGAGAGGGAGAAAUGUUCCCGUCUCGGGAAACUGAUAGUACCUUUAAAGUAAGCCCCGGCUAACUACGUGCCAGCAGCCGCGGUAAUACGUAGGGGGCAAGCGUUGUCCGGAUUUACUGGGUGUAAAGGGUGCUCAGGUGGUUGUGUAAGUCAGGGGUGAAAUCCUGGGGCUUAACUCCGGAACUGCCCUUGAUACUACACAGCUUGUGUACGGAAGAGGCUGAUGGAAUUCCUGGUGUAGCAGUGAAAUGCGUAGAUAUCAGGAAGAACACCAGUGGCGAAGGCGGUCAGCUGGUCCGUUACAGACACUAAAGCACGAAAGCGUGGGGAGCAAACAGG
rnacentral:rRNA from 1 species